UUUUUUUUGAAAUAUUUUCAUAUGUCAAACAAUAAUUCAUCUAUUUACAAAACAAAAUUUUGUAUCUUUUUAAAUUUUAAGAUUUUAUUGAUAAUUGUUUUUUAGGUAAAUAAUAUGACAGAAAUUUUGAUGAUAAAGUGAUAAAAAUUCAAGAAUUUAAAUUAAAAUAAGAUUUAUCAAUUAACCAGGAAAUAACACCCAAUUAUAAGAUUUCAUUAUAUGUAUAUUGAUAUAAGGACACACAUGAAGUAAGAGAUA
rnacentral:lncRNA from 1 species